UACGGAGGGGGCUAGCGUUGUUCGGAAUUACUGGGCGUAAAGCGCACGUAGGCGGCUUUGUAAGUUAGAGGUGAAAGCCUGGAGCUCAACUCCAGAAUUGCCUUUAAGACUGCAUCGCUUGAAUCCAGGAGAGGUGAGUGGAAUUCCGAGUGUAGAGGUGAAAUUCGUAGAUAUUCGGAAGAACACCAGUGGCGAAGGCGGCUCACUGGACUGGUAUUGACGCUGAGGUGCGAAAGCGUGGGGAGCAAACAGG
rnacentral:rRNA from 1 species